rnacentral:sRNA from 1 species
UAAGGAGCUUGAGAAUGACGAACGAAUGUGGUGAUUCAUCAGACUGAGAAGUCUACCAAGAUCGGGUCAUCUAUCAAAGAGUUGAAAUAGCUGUAACGAUAGGCGUAUUGGGCGCGGCAGGCAGGAAGCCAACCGUCUUAUGGUCUUUUGAGCCUAGGUGGUUAGCACUGUAUUCCUGGCCGGUGCCUGAUCAUUACAGCAGCUACCAUUCAUCUGAUUUCGAUGAUGCCAGAUUAUAUGAUCGAACGCAUGACGAUUGCAGAGCCCCAGGAGAUCAUCAUGUGGACAUAAGUGGAAUUAAGUAGCUG